CUUACAUGGUGCACAGCUCCUCCGUCCGGCCCCGCAGCUCUUGCAGGCCCCGCGUGGCCUGAGCCUGCUCGCGCUGCGCCCGCUCCCACUGGCCCAGGAAGCUGUCAAGCCUGCCGCCGAGGCCCCCGAGCAGCCGUAGGGCCUCCUGCACGGCCCCCUCCUCCUGAUGCCACCGGGCGGUCAGUGAGGACACCUCCCUCCUGUAGGGGUAGAGCUGGUGAUGGAAUCUUUGGCGUGGACCAGUCCACUGUUAACCCAACUCUGGGGAAGAACGGGAGACAGCAGCCAAACUUGUGACUUAAUAGCUGAGCCCCCAGAACACUGGAGCCUCUAACCUACUGCAUUUGAAGAGACCUGCUAUACUUGAGACAUUUAUGUGAGCAACAAACUAUCCUGCUUCAAGCAGCUAUUUUGGUUUCUUUCACAGCUGCUGAACUAAUACACAAAGAAAAGAGAGAACAAGCUUCCUCCAUUGUAAAAUGAGAACAACUUCACAUUUCUUGCGUAACUGCUCUGGAGAACAAGUGUGAUAAGAAAUAUUGUAUUAAGGUGACAUCAGCAAAAUGGUAGGGUCAGGAACCCCCAAAUUCCACCCCUCCAAACUGGCCAAAACUAUGAGUCAAGUCAUUGAGGAGAUUAUAACAAUCAUAAAUAUAUAUGCACCUAAUAGACUUUCAAAACACAUGAAUCAAAAACUGAUAGAGGGCUUCCCUGGCAGCGCAGUGGUUGAGAGUCUGCCUGCCGAUGCAGGGGACACAGGUUCGUGCCCCGGUCUGGGAAGAUCCCACAUGCCAUGGAGCGACUGGACCCGUGGGCCAUGGCUGCUGAGCCUGCAUGUCCGGAGCCUGUGCUCCGCAAUGGGAGAGGCCACAACAGUGAGAGGCCCACGUACCGCAAAAAAAAAAAAAAAAAAAAACUGAUAGAAUUGGGAAUUCUCUGGCAGUCCAGUGGUUAGGACUCCGUGCUUUCACUGCCGAGGGCCCAGUUUCAAUCCCUGGUCAGGGAGCUAAGAUCUGCAAGCCCCACAGUGUGGCCAAAAAGAAAAAAAAGACACUGACAGAAUUGAAGGGAGAAAUUGACAACUUAACAGUAAUGGUUGGAGACUACAAUACCUCAAUUUCAAGAAUGGAUUGAACAACUAGAGAGUAGAUCACCAAGGAGAUAGGACUUGGACGACACUAUAAACCAACCAGACCUAACAGGCACCUACAGAACAUUCCACCCAACAAAAGAAUACACAUUCGGGCCUCCCUGGUGGCGCAAGUGGUUGGGAGUCCGCCUGCCGAUGCAGGGGAUACGGGUUCGUGCCCCGGUCUGGGAGGAUCCCAUAUGCCGCGGAGCGGCUGGGCCUGUGAGCCGUGGCCGCUGGGCCUGCGCGUCCGGAGCCUGCGCGUCCGGAGCCUGUGCUCCGCAACGGGGGAGGCCACAGCAGUGAGAGGCCCGCAUACCGCAAAAAAAAAAAAAUAAAAAUAAAAAUAAAAGAAUACACAUUCUUCUCAAGUGAAAUUAAACAUUGUUCAUAUGGUCGAGGACAGACCAUAUAUUAAGUGACAAAACAAGUCUCAAUAAAUUUAAAAGGAUUUGAAAACAAAGUAUGUUUUCUGACCUCAAUGACCUCAGUAGAAUGAAAUCAGGAAUCAAUAGCAGAAAGAAAUUUGAGAAACUCACAAAUAUAUGGAAAUUAAACAACACACUCAUAAACAGCCAAUGGGUAGAAGAAGAAAUCACAAGAGAAAUUAUACUUAGGAAUGAGGGAAAAUGAAAACACAACAUACCAAAACUUGUGGGAUGCAGCAGAGGCAAUACUUUGAGGGAAAUUUAGAGCUGUAAACACCUACAUCAAAAAAGAACUUAAGGGGCCUCCUUGGUGGCACAGUGGUUGAGAGUCUGCCGAUGCAGGGGACAUGGGUUCAUGCCCUGGUCCAGGAAGAUCCCACAUGCCGCGGAGCGGCUGGGCCCAUGAGCCAUGGCCGCUGAGCCUGUGCGUCUGGAGCCUGUGCUCCGCAACGGGAGAGGCCACAGCAGUGAGAGGCCUGUGUACUGCAAAAAAAACCAAAAACCAAAACAAAAACUUAAAAUCAGUAACCUAAUCUUCCACCUUAAGAAACUAGAAAAAGAAGAGACAGCCCAAAGGUAGCAGAAUGAAGGAAAUAAUAAAGAUUAGAGUGGAAAAAAAAUGAAAUAGAGAAUAGAAAAACAGUAGAGAAAAAUCAACAAAACCAGAAGUUGGUUUUUUGAAAAGGUCAACAAAAUUGACAACUUUUAAGCUAGACUGACCAUGAAAAA